CUUGAGCUGGGACAUCAUUUCUUUCCUGGCUUCAGACUGGAACUGAAACAUCUGCUCUUCUUGGGUCUUGAGCCUCCUGGCCUUUGAACUUGAACUACGUCAUUGGUUCUUCUGGCUUCAGGCCUUCAGACUCAGACGGGAACCACACCACCACAUCAUCAGUUCUCCUGAGGAUUCAGCUUGCUGACUGCAGAUCUUGGGACUCGUCAGCCUCUGUAAUCAUUCAAUAGUGACUGCUUCCACAUGCCCUGAAGAGGAAACUGCUAUAUUGAUUUCCAGCACCAUCUUUCAGGUUUGCCUGUUCUUGAACUGCAUACAGGUAGGAUUGUAUAGUAUGGACUCUCUCUGUUUGGAUUCUUUUGCCCAGCAUAAUGUUUGUGAGAUUUAUCCAUGUUAUUUCAUAUAUUAAUAGUCCAUUCUUUUUUUUGUUGAUGUCAAUUUUCGUUUGUAAUAUUCUAUUGCAAGAACACAUCACAAUUUAUAUAUAGAUUUUCUGUAGAUGGAUUUUUGGGUUGUUCUAGCCUUACCUAUCAUGAAUAAAGCUUCUAGUACCUUAUGUCUUUUUGUUGUGUUUCCAAAUUCCUGGCAUAUAGUAAUCUUUGGGAUUUGAGAAUGACAAAUCAGAAUUCCUGAAACCAUAGGCUAUUCUGUAUUUUUUUAUAACAUUUUAUUUAUAUGUUUUAAAAUAAUAAUGAGUGCUCAUAAUAAAUAAAAUCACUCACUGUUUUGUGUGUGUGAUGGGAUUAUGCUAAAAGUUUCAAAGAUUUUUUUUUUUGGUUUAAAAAUGACAUAAUAAUAAAUGCAUGAUUAUUAUUAUAAAUCAAUAUAUUAUGAUAAGAUCGUAUAUUUCAACAUCAUGUAAAUAUAAUCUAUACCUGAUAAAGAAUUCGAUAUCAGAGAACAUUAAAAGAAAGAAAUAUCAGGACCAGCCCCAUGGCCAGAGUGGUUAAAGUUCCACACCCUCCACUUUGGCAGCCUGGGUUUGCAGGGUCAGAUCCCAGGUGCACACCUACUCCACUCAUCCGCCAUGCUGUGGCAGCAUCCCACAUACAAAGUGGAAGACUGGCACAGAUGUUAGCUCAGGGCUAAUCUUCCUCAAGCAAAAAAGCAGGAAGAUAGGCAAUGGAUGUUGGCUCAAGGCAAUCUUCCUCAGCAAACAAAAAGGAAAGAAAGACAGAAAGGUUAACACAAGAUAAAUGUCAAAUAAUCAUUUUAAAGAUGGAAAGACAAUACCGCAAAUAUUUAAAAGUUAUUCUUAAAGUAAAAUUUUAAAAUGCUCAAGGCCUGUGAUUUACCUAUCUGGUAACCUUGGUCUUUGUUUCGUGACAAAUAUUCAAGAGGUGUAACAAUUUUUUUUUCAUUUUUGUCA
rnacentral:lncRNA from 1 species